rnacentral:rRNA from 1 species
UACGUAGGGGGCUAGCGUUGUCCGGAAUCAUUGGGCGUAAAGCGCGUGUAGGCGGUCCGGUAAGUCCGCUGUGAAAGUCGGGGGCUCAACCCUCGAAUGCCGGUGGAUACUGUCGGGCUAGAGUACGGAAGAGGCGAGUGGAAUUCCUGGUAUAGCGGUGAAAUGCGCAGAUAUCAGGAGGAACACCAAUUGCGAAGGCAGCUCGCUGGGACGUUACUGACGCUGAGACGCGAAAGCGUGGGGAGCAAACAGG